rnacentral:lncRNA from 1 species
AAUCCCAACGCUGGAGCGGAGGCAAGAGGAUCAGAAAUUCAAGGUCAUCCCUUGGCUACAUAUGGAAUUUUAGAUCAGCCUCGUGUACAUGAGAAUGUCUCAAACAAAAAACUUAUCUACUUUAUUUUUGGCAUAAAGAGUAUGAAGAUAAAGUUUGUCAGCAGGACUGGAAGACAGCUUGCAUUUACUUGGAACCUACAAACUGACAACCUUAGUAACAGAGAAGAUCACUUUCAACAUAUGAAUUAAGAAGCUGAGCCUGAUUGGGUACAUUAUGUGAAAUUCCCAAAUAAUCAAUAAAAUACAUUGGAGGAAAAA